CAUCAUGGCCCUUAUGGAUUGGGCUACACACGUGCUACAAUGGUGAUUACAAUGGGCUGCAAAGUCGCAAGGCAGAGCGUAAACCUCAAAAAUCAUCUCAGUUCGGAUUGUUCUCUGCAACUCGAGAGCAUGAAGUUGGAAUCGCUAGUAAUCGUGGAUCAGCACGCCACGGUGAAUACGUUCUCGGGUCUUGUACACACUGCCCGUCACGCCAUGGAAAUUGGUUUCACUCGAAGCUAACAACCUAACCGCAAGGAGGGAGUUAUUUAAAGUGGGAUUGGUAACUGGGGUGAAGUCGUAAC
rnacentral:rRNA from 1 species